GAUGAACGCUAGCGGCAGGCUUAAUACAUGCAAGUCGAGGGGCAGCAGUCCCGCAGCAAUGCGGGAGCUGGCGACCGGCAAACGGGUGCGGAACACGUACAGAACCUUCCUUCGAGCGGGGAAUAGCCCAGAGAAAUUUGGAUUAAUACCCCAUAGCAUUACGAAGUGGCAUCACUUUGUAAUUAAAGAUUUAUCACUCGAAGAUGGCUGUGCGGCUGAUAGGUAGUUGGCGGAGUAACGGCCCACCAAGCCUUCGAUCAGUAACUGGUGUGAGAGCACGACCAGUCACACGGGCACUGAGACACGGGGCCCCGACUCCUACGGGGAGGCAGCAGUAAGGAAUAUUGGUCAAUGGACGAAAGUCUGAACCAGCC
rnacentral:rRNA from 1 species